AACGAACGCUGGCGGCAUGCCUAACACAUGCAAGUCGAACGAGACCUUCGGGUCUAGUGGCGCACGGGUGCGUAACGCGUGGGAACCUGCCCUUAGGUUCGGAAUAACUCCCCGAAAGGGGUGCUAAUACCGGAUAAUGUCUUCGGACCAAAGAUUUAUCGCCUUUGGUUGGGCCCGCGUUGGAUUAGCUAGUUGGUAGGGUAAAAGCCUACCAAGGCGACGAUCCAUAGCUGGUCUGAGAGGAUGAUCAGCCACACUGGGACUGAGACACGGCCCAGACUCCUACGGGAGGAAGCAGUGGGGAAUAUUGAACAAUGGGCGAAAGCCUGAUCCAGCAAUGCCGCGUGAGUGAUGAAGGCCUUAGGGUUGUAAAGCUCUUUUACCCGGGAUGAUAAUGACAGUACCGGGAGAAUAAGCUCCGGCUAACUCCGUG
rnacentral:rRNA from 1 species